rnacentral:rRNA from 1 species
UACGGGGGGGGCAAGCGUUGUUCGGAAUCACUGGGCUUAAAGGGCGCGUAGGCGGACCACCAAGUCGGGGGUGAAAUCUUUCAGCUCAACUGGAAAAGAGCUUCCGAUACUGGUGGUCUCGAGGGAGGUAGGGGUCGAGGGAACUAAUGGUGGAGCGGUGAAAUGCGUAGAUAUCAUUAGGAACGCCGGUGGCGAAAGCGCUCGACUGGACCUCUUCUGACGCUGAGGCGCGAAAGCCAGGGGAGCAAACGGG